rnacentral:rRNA from 1 species
UUACGGUCAAAUCACGCUGAAAACACCGGUUCUCGUUCGAUCACCGAAGUUAAGCAUCGUAGAGCCAGGUCAGUACUUAGAUGGGAGACCGCUUGGGAACACCUGGUACUGUAAG